GCACUCAAACCACUGCCUGGGAUCACUUUGGUGACAGCAGCCUGUCAGGAGUAACUCCAGGGAGACAAGGCAGCUUAAAUGCAGGAUUUUCCUACCUAUGGGCUCGUGCUUGGAAUUCCCACUGCCACAAACAUGCUUCCUGCAUAUUUAAAUCCAUGGAGUGCGGGCAGCAACAGUCAAUGAGUGAAGAGGAAAGGAAGCACUAAUGACUGUCUUGGAGUUGUUUUCCUCCUGUCGUGAAGAGCUUGUACCACAUCAAGUCAGUUAAAUAAAUACAGAAGGAACAUUUUUCCCUGGAACAUUCCCCAUUUGUCGUGCUCUCCCCUCUGCUCAGCCAGAUUGUUCAGCUC